UCAAAGCUCACACCCAACCCUACGCGUCCCACAUCGGAAGAAUCAACAUCUCCCACGCUUCCAACGGCAAAAAGAUUCUUCCGGGUUUCAUUGUUCAUAAGUGCUAUAUUUGCUUUCUAGAGCUUUUAUAUUCUUUUGUACACUCUUUUAUUGUGGUGCUUGUUCCAGUCAAGGGACUUGAAACAAGGGAAAGGCGUCCCAAGCCUAAGAGAAAUUGGGGGUAUUAGGGUUUGUUGUGAGCCCGGUGUAAAACAACGAGUUGGGUAGUGAACUCGCAAAACUACCGUACUGUAAUCUUGGAUUAUAGUGGAAAUUCCCAAAGGCGCUUUGGGGAGUGGAUGUAGGA
rnacentral:lncRNA from 1 species